UGAGCAUCGUCCAGGUAGAGACGGUGAGCAGAUCACAGGAGAAAUGCAGUAUCCAUUCCUGAUGUCCUUCUCUGGUGGCUUUUAAGAUACUGCUGGAGCUCUGCAGUAGGAACAGUUGGUGGAAGCUGGUAUCCAGACCUGUCCUGCGAGGGGUGAAAAAAUCAGGUCCUCUGAAAAAGUCCCGCUGGAGACACAACCAAACCAGAGAACUACCCUAGAGGACAGUGACAUGUCGAUAAUGGGGGCUGAUUAAGAGAAAAGGAAAAUGACAAUUAGUGGUUCAUUUUCAUCGUGGCAAAAAGGCUCCAUCUGGUGGUGGUGUCACCCAAAAAAGAAGCUACAAGCUCUGAAGUGCUGGAGGGGAAGCUUUGCGGUGGCCGUUGUUGACCUGCCACCUUCCUGCCUGUCCUGCCUUUCCCUGAGGUCUCUGUCCGAAUGCAGGGCACAUCAGCUGCCUGGAGGUCCUGUGUUUUCAUGGGCAAGGGUAUUAAACAAGGAGAAGGCAUCCAGCCCAUGCUGAGGGAGCCUGUGGCCUUACCUGGAGGCUAUUCUGGUGAAGUGCUCAUAGACGUUCUCCUUGGUGGGCUGCAAGGAUUUCAGCAUGUAGCGAAACUCCGCAUCGUACCGCUUAUUAAUGUCGUCACCGAUGAUGGCCAGGCGCCUUCCUACCAGGCUCCCGGUGCUGCCCAGAGGGAAGACGGCAUUAUGGAGAGGUCAGCAAGACUGGAACAGGUUUAUUUGGUGGUAAACAAAUCCCACCUUAUGGAGGAGCCAGCGGAGCCAGUGACCGCUCCACCGAGAGCCAGAAAACGAAACCGACUGACUCACAGUUUCAGUGAGAGACAGGGAAACCACAUAUUGAUGGGAGAUACAGUUCAACGGGAAAUCCAGUACUCUUGUGUGUGUGCUGGAAAUAGGAACUGCAUGGGCACCAGACGAGAGAAAAGUGGUCUGGGAGAUGAAGACACUCACAGAUGCAUGACUAACAUCCCCAAGCAACUAUUUAUCAGUUCAUGACUUGCAACAUCAAGUCCAGAGCUAAGAUAAACAACUAAGGACCAAAUCUCACACCUCUCCAGGUAUGUUACGUGAGUAUUAAACACACACGGACAGAUGAGAAAGCCCAGGUAAUCUGAGGAAGAGAACAGUUGCCAAUCUGACUCUGCAAACUGUGAGGCAGGGUGGCUGGGCUUUCCAUGCACAGCCCUGACACCCUGGACAUCCUCGCAGAGACUGACAUCAAAGCUCUCUCCAUCUCCUUAGUAAUAAGGAGCGGACAUAGCAAUAC